rnacentral:rRNA from 1 species
CCUACGGGAGGCUGCAGUGAGGAAUCUUGGUCAAUGGACGAGAGUCUGAACCAGCCAAGUCGCGUGAAGGAUGACUGCCCUAUGGGUUGUAAACUUCUUUUAUAUGGGAAUAAAAUGUUCCACGUGUGGGAUUUUGUAUGUACCAUAUGAAUAAGGAUCGGCUAACUCCGUGCCAGCAGCCGCGGUAAUACGGAGGAUCCGAGCGUUAUCCGGAUUUAUUGGGUUUAAAGGGAGCGUAGGUGGAUUGUUAAGUCAGUUGUGAAAGUUUGCGGCUCAACCGUAAAAUUGCAGUUGAAACUGGCAGUCUUGAGUACAGUAGAGGUGAGCGGAAUGCGUGGUGUAGCGGUGAAAUGCUUAGAUAUCACGAAGAACUCCGAUUGCGAAGGCAGCUUACUGGACUGCAACUGACACUGAGGCUCGAAAGUGUGGGUAUCAAACAGGAUUAGAUACCCGAGUAGUC